rnacentral:lncRNA from 10 species
GUCAAGUAUGAGAAGUGCUCUCUUUGACUGGAGAGCCGAAAACUAUAUCAUUAAGUCAUAUCCAGCUGGAGGAAGUUCUCUUACAUCAACUCACAGGCAUUCAUUCUAAGGACGUUUCUGUCUAUCAAAGACUGGUUCUUCAGAGGAAUCAUCCCUGACUGUGUCAUCACUCUGAGCUCUGACUGCACUCCCCCUCCCCUACCAGUGGGAACACUACCCAAGAGAGAGCUCUGGAGUGCUCCUGACGAGAAAUUCCAUGGGGACUGUACCUGACCCUCUCAGAUCAGCUAAAACUUCCCUGAUUGCAGCUUCCGGAAAAGAAGAGGAUCUAGGAGAGCCACAGGCUGCCUCACCUCGGCAUCGACCAGCUCUCUUGUGUAAGAAUGCCAAUGGCUUUUCAGGUGCCCCUGCAGAGCCAGACCUCAGCCCCAGGGCAGCUGCCGAAGCCCUGAUGCAGGCUUGUGAGCAUGAGACCACCCAGCCAGGUAUGUCUUCUCCUGGUGUCUUCAAUGAAGUGGAGAAAGCACCUGCCACAUUCAACUCUCCCGGCAAUUCCCAGCUGCCAGGGAGCAGCCAGCCUGCAGCGCCAGCCCCGAGUUCUGCAGCAGGAAGGGAUCUUAUACACACACCAUUGACAAUGCCUGCCAAUCAGUACACCCGCCAGUCCAUCCCAGGUGAUCAGCCCAAUGCCAUCACCUCAUCCGCACCUGAAGAUUCCCUGAGGAGAUCACAGAGAACCUCAAAUAGAGAGCAACCUGAGAAACCAAGUUGUCCUGUGGGAGACAUCCUCAGUAGCAGCAAAGAUCAGGUGUCCUGUGAGUUUCCUUCCCCAGAAACAAUCCAGGGAACAGUGCAGACUCCAGUGACAGCAGCCAGGGUGGUCAGUCACUCAUCCUCUCCUGUAGGUGGACCCGAAGGGGAAAGGCAGGGAGCCAUCUGUGAUUCUGAAAUGAGGUCCUGCAAACCUCUAACUAGAGAACCUGGAUGUUCAGAGAACAAGCAGCCCUCUGUCACUGCCUCGGGCCCCCAGGGCACAACUUCUGUGACACCUCAACCGGCCCCUCUCACUAGCGAACUUUCGGCAUGUCCCCCAGGUCCAGAGAAGGUGCUGCUACCAGUACAGCAUCCGAUGUCAAGGUUCAAAGAAGCCAGUACGAUGACCAGCCAAGCUGAAGGUGAAAUCAAGGAAGUUCCCAGCAGGGCUUGGCAAGAUGCGGAGGUGCAGGCAGUGGCGAGUGUGGAGAGCAGAUCCGUCUCCACCAGUCCCAGUAUCCUCACUGCAUUUCUGAAGGAAAGCCCUGCUCCUGAGCAUUUCGAACAAGAGCAGCUGCGUGUCAUUUGCCACAGCAGUGGGAGCCACACCCUGGAGCUCUCUGACGGCACGCUAGCCCCCCAGGAGUCCAGCCAGUGCCCUGGCAUCAUGCCACAGGUGCACAUUCAGGCAGCUGCAGCUGUGCCCACCACUUUCCAAAGGGAAAAUAAACUAGUGAGCCUACCAGGUGGGGUCCUUAAAACCUCGUCAAUCAAUUUGGCCUCCAGUAAUGCCCAGCAUCUGCGUAAAGAAGAUGGGAAGUUAGCAGGAAUGACUCCAGCAGGGGAAGAAUCAACUGCUAAAAAGCUCGCAGGAAGAACCAGGAGAGCACCUUAG